GCGGGUGUAGUUUAGUGGCAGAAUCCUAGCUUCCCAAGCUAGUCGUGUGGGUUCGAUUCCCAUCACCCGCUCCA
rnacentral:tRNA from 1 species